UUCUCAUGAGACGCUUCUUGA
rnacentral:piRNA from 1 species